rnacentral:tRNA from 1 species
CAGAGUGUAGCUAAAUCAGAAAAGCAUCUUUUUUACACUAAGAAGACCCCCGUGCAAAUCGGGUCACCCUGA